GGUAGAAGAGCGUCGCGUGCACGCCGUGUCGGCUGU
rnacentral:sRNA from 1 species